GCCCUGGUGGCACAAGGUUAAGUGCUCAGCUGCCAACUCUAAGGUUGGUGGUUCGAACCCACCCAGGGCC
rnacentral:tRNA from 1 species